rnacentral:rRNA from 1 species
GACGAACGCUGGCGGCAUGCCUAAUACAUGCAAGUCGAGCGAACAGAUGAAGUGCUUGCACUUCUGACGUCAGCGGCGAACGGGUGAGUAACACGUAAGGAAUCUACCUAUAAGCGGGGGAUAACAUUCGGAAACGGGUGCUAAUACCGCAUAAUAUCUUCUUCCGCAUGGAAGAAGAUUGAAAGACGGCUCUGCUGUCACUUAUAGAUGACCUUGCGGUGCAUUAGUUAGUUGGUGGGGUAACGGCCUACCAAGACGAUGAUGCAUAGCCGAACGGAGAGGGGGAUCGGCCACAUUGGGACUGAGAAACGGCCCAAACUCCUACGGGAGGCAGCAGUAGGGAAUCUUCCGCAAUGGGCGAAAGCCUGACGGAGCAAGGCCGCGUGAGUGAAGAAGGCCUUCGGGUCGUAAAACUCUGUUAUAAGAGAAGAACAAAUUGUAGAGUAACUGCUACAGUCUUGACGGUAUCUUAUCAGAAAGCCACGGCUAACUACGUGCCAGCCGCCGCCGUAA